GGUAUGGGAUGAGCUUGCGUCCGAUUAGCUAGUUGGCGGGGCAACGGCCCACCAAGGCGACGAUCGGUAGCCGGCCUGAGAGGGUGAUCGGCCACAUUGGGACUGAGAUACGGCCCAGACUCCUACGGGAGGCAGCAGUAGGGAAUAUUGCACAAUGGGGGGAACCCUGAUGCAGCAACGCCACGUGUGGGAAGAAGCAUUUCGGUGUGUAAACCACUGUCAUGAGGGAAUAAGGCCCGCCUUCGGACGGGAUUGAAUGUACCUUGAGAGGAAGCACCGGCAAACUUCGUGCCAGCAGCCGCGGUAAUACGAGGGGUGCAAGCGUUGUUCGGAAUUACUGGGCGUAAAGGGAGCGUAGGCGGAGAUUCAAACGGAUUGUACAAUCCCGGGGCCCAACCCCGGCUCUGCAGUCCGAACUGGAUCUCUUGGAUAGUUCAGGGGCAGGC
rnacentral:rRNA from 1 species